GCAGGCAGGCAGGCAGGGCAGGGCAGGGCAGGCAGCGUGGGUUUCAGGAACAGGAAUGGGUGGGAGGCCCCACCGCAGCUGAACCCCCAACGCUUUACAGCCAAACCAAGGGUGGCCUGACAUCGUCACCUUUAAUUCUGCAUCAGCAGCAGCAGCAGCACCGGCCACUAAAGACUCGCGGCCAGCGGCACCAGGCCACGAUCGCGUUCGCCUCACAGCCAACUCAACUCCCCAAAGGUGUUUGUCGAAAUGCCUCUCCGCCCCCCAAAACGGCACUCUGCAGCUGUGUCUGGAGCCUCCCUCCCUCCAAGCCCAUUCCCCUUCGCAGCUUCUUCCCACCAUGCUCUAUUAUGACUAGAGGAAAAGAAUGAAAGAGGAGUGUGUUGAACAUUUCGAUCCAGGUUUCCUACUCGAGAGAGAGAGUCGGGCUACAAUCUGAUGGUCAUGGGGAAGAAUUGAAUCCUCAAACCCCAAUCGCCUCAAAGAUCACGCAUGUUGAACAUGAUUUAGAUGCCCAAAAUAUAUUACGGUUUGC